UUUAUGGAGAGUUUGAUCCUGGCUCAGGAUGAACGCUGGCGGCGUGCCUAAUACAUGCAAGUCGAGCGAACAGACAAGGAGCUUGCUCCUUUGACGUUAGCGGCGGACGGGUGAGUAACACGUGGGUAACCUACCUAUAAGACUGGGAUAACUUCGGGAAACCGGAGCUAAUACCGGAUAAUAUUUCGAACCGCAUGGUUCGAUAGUGAAAGAUGGUUUUGCUAUCACUUAUAGAUGGACCCGCGCCGUAUUAGCUAGUUGGUAAGGUAACGGCUUACCAAGGCGACGAUACGUAGCCGACCUGAGAGGGUGAUCGGCCACACUGGAACUGAGACACGGUCCAGACUCCUACGGGAGGCAGCAGUAGGGAAUCUUCCGCAAUGGGCGAAAGCCUGACGGAGCAACGCCGCGUGAGUGAUGAAGGUCUUCGGAUCGUAAAACUCUGUUAUUAGGGAAGAACAUACGUGUAAGUAACUAUGCACGUCUUGACGGUACCUAAUCAGAAAGCCACGGCUAACUACGUGCCAGCAGCCGCGGUAAUACGUAGGUGGCAAGCGUUAUCCGGAAUUAUUGGGCGUAAAGCGCGCGUAGGCGGUUUUUUAAGUCUGAUGUGAAAGCCCACGGCUCAACCGUGGAGGGUCAUUGGAAACUGGAAAACUUGAGUGCAGAAGAGGAAAGUGGAAUUCCAUGUGUAGCGGUGAAAUGCGCAGAGAUAUGGAGGAACACCAGUGGCGAAGGCGACUUUCUGGUCUGUAACUGACGCUGAUGUGCGAAAGCGUGGGGAUCAAACAGGAUUAGAUACCCUGGUAGUCCACGCCGUAAACGAUGAGUGCUAAGUGUUAGGGGGUUUCCGCCCCUUAGUGCUGCAGCUAACGCAUUAAGCACUCCGCCUGGGGAGUACGACCGCAAGGUUGAAACUCAAAGGAAUUGACGGGGACCCGCACAAGCGGUGGAGCAUGUGGUUUAAUUCGAAGCAACGCGAAGAACCUUACCAAAUCUUGACAUCCUUUGACAACUCUAGAGAUAGAGCUUUCCCCUUCGGGGGACAAAGUGACAGGUGGUGCAUGGUUGUCGUCAGCUCGUGUCGUGAGAUGUUGGGUUAAGUCCCGCAACGAGCGCAACCCUUAAGCUUAGUUGCCAUCAUUAAGUUGGGCACUCUAAGUUGACUGCCGGUGACAAACCGGAGGAAGGUGGGGAUGACGUCAAAUCAUCAUGCCCCUUAUGAUUUGGGCUACACACGUGCUACAAUGGACAAUACAAAGGGCAGCGAAACCGCGAGGUCAAGCAAAUCCCAUAAAGUUGUUCUCAGUUCGGAUUGUAGUCUGCAACUCGACUACAUGAAGCUGGAAUCGCUAGUAAUCGUAGAUCAGCAUGCUACGGUGAAUACGUUCCCGGGUCUUGUACACACCGCCCGUCACACCACGAGAGUUUGUAACACCCGAAGCCGGUGGAGUAACCAUUUGGAGCUAGCCGUCGAAGGUGGGACAAAUGAUUGGGGUGAAGUCGUAACAAGGUAGCCGUAUCGGAAGGUGCGGCUGGAUCACCUCCUUU
rnacentral:rRNA from 1 species